UGCACACGGUGCGGUCACCGGCCCGCGCUCCUCCUAGGCUCCUCCUCCCGCUCGGCUUUUUGGCGGGAGUCUCGCCACAAGAUGGCGCCAUACCCGCGCGCUUCCCCACAGGGACCAAUGUGAAAACUUCAAGUCCCGUCAUGGCUACGGCACGGGCAUGCUGGGAGUUGUAGUUCUGCCACAGGUACGGUAUGCUCGGGCACGCUGGCUGCAUUCCUAGAGGACCGGUUUCCAGCGCCCGCCUUAUCGCUCCCUUAUUCUGUCAUCUCUGGAUUUCAUCAUGUCCACGAUGAGUCACGGCCGAGUCACGGGUGCCUCCAUCUGUUUAAAAACUACAACUUCCAGCAUGCCCGGAAAGCCAUAGGCCUUUCAUCCUCAUCCAGAGGAUCCAUACUGUCCCUGAAAGGUAAAUCAAGGCUUCCCUUUCAUUCCAUCCCUCGAUGUAGUGGUCUUCAAACUGCAGCCCUGCAGCUGUUGCAAGACAACAACUUUCAGCAUGCCGGACAGCCAGAAGCCUUUCAGCCUCCUCCAGAGGAUCCGCACUAUCCCUAAAAAGCGCUCGCCCUGAACUUGUCACUUUUGUCACUUCUGGAACUGUCAGCGAUAUAUCUAAACGCUCGAGAACUCUCCUCCAGCGGAACCGGAUCUUCCAGAUUCCCCAAAUAUUCGGCCAUUUUAUCUCAAGAAGAUAAAGAAUAUUUCUGGCUAAAGUCGACCAAACAAGUCAAGAACAGAAAAUAGGAAAGUCCCGCGUACGGUGGAUCGGCCGAAAAACUUUUGUGUCCCUUAUUUUUUUUUGUUUUCGUGUUCUGUGUCACAGUUUUUGUGGCAUUUAAAAAAAGUUGAAAAAUAAAUAGUUUGUA